CAGAAAACCAUUCUGAAUGUGCUUGUUAAACAAAUAACUAUAAACUAAACACCUGCUACAUAAGAGCAGUGCCCUCAUUACUACCAGGAUCUGAAUCCUCAAAUCAAAGACAACAUUAUGUCCUCACCGACAUUCAAAGUGCAGCACAGGGUUAGACAUCAUGGCUCUGCCCCUGGAACGGGAAGCAGAGGUUUCUGGCCAUUCUCACUAAUUAGCAGCAGUUUUAUUGGCACCUGGGCCGUAUGUGAUUGAAAGAGAAGAUUCUACUUCAUAGAAUGACAGCUUGCCCAUAUGACAUAAAACAUAGUUGUUAGGCAAGUCAGGCCACUCCAAGGCAAUCUAUUCUGCUUCCCCCAGGGGGACGCAGGGCGUACAGGGGCUGUGGGAAGUGGGGCAGGUGAACAAGUGCUGUGGUCAAAGGGAUUUUGUGGUUUAGCACAAACUGGUGCCUCUAAUUCACCAUCGAGAUGCUUUUUUGGUGUUGAUACGUUAAACUCAGAAGGGUGAGGGCAGACUCGCCCGACUGCACAGUACCUGGUUGGCAGCAGGAUUCAGCUGUUUGGUGAAAGCCCAGGGAACUUUCAGAC